rnacentral:rRNA from 1 species
AGUGAACGCUGGCGGUAGGCCUAACACAUGCCAGUCGAACGGCAGCACAGUAAGAGCUUGCUCUUACGGGUGGCGAGUGGCGGACGGGUGAGGAAUACAUCGGAAUCUACUUUUUCGUGGGGGAUAACGUAGGGAAACUUACGCUAAUACCGCAUACGACCUACGGAUGAAAGCAGGGGAUCUUCGGACCUUGCGCGAUUGAAUGAGCCGAUGUCGGAUUAGCUAGUUGGCGGGGUAAAGGCCCACCAAGGCGACGAUCCGUAGCUGGUCUGAGAGGAUGAUCAGCCACACUGGAACUGAGACACGGUCCAGACUCCUACGGGAGGCAGCAGUGGGGAAUAUUGGACAAUGGGCGCAAGCCUGAUCCAGCCAUACCGCGUGGGUGAAGAAGGCCUUCGGGUUGUAAAGCCCUUUUGUUGGGAAAGAAAAGCAGCAGGUUAAUACCCCGCUGUUCUGACGGUACCCAAAGAAUAAGCACCGGCUAACUUCGUG